UACGUAGGGAGCGAGCGUUGUCCGGAAUCAUUGGGCGUAAAGAGCGCGUAGGUGGAUUGGUCAGUCUGCUGUGAAAGUCAAAGGCUCAACCUUUGAAAGCCGGUGGAUACUGCCAAUCUAGAGUGCGGAAGAGGCGAGUGGAACUCCUGGUGUAGCGGUGGAAUGCGCAGAUAUCAGGAAGAACACCGAUAGCGAAGGCAGCUCGCUGGGACGCUACUGACACUGAGGCGCGAAAGCGUGGGGAGCAAACAGG
rnacentral:rRNA from 1 species